AAUUGGUCCGAAAGUAGUGGGUUAUCGACACAUGUUCUCCACCUCCCCUUUCCUCCACUACUGCCCUUGACUAAUUUUAU
rnacentral:Y_RNA from 1 species